GGGUAUAGCUCAGUGGUAGAGCACAUGCUUAGUACGCAUGAGGUCCUGGGUUCAAUCCUCAGUACCUCCA
rnacentral:tRNA from 1 species